rnacentral:rRNA from 1 species
UACAGAGGGUGCAAGCGUUGUUCGGAAUUAUUGGGCGUAAAGCGCGUGUAGGCGGCUUUGCAAGUCGGGUGUGAAAGCCCUCAGCUCAACUGAGGAAGUGCGCCCGAAACUGCAGAGCUUGAGUGCCGGAGAGGGUGGCGGAAUUCCCCAAGUAGAGGUGAAAUUCGUAGAUAUGGGGAGGAACACCGGUGGCGAAGGCGGCCACCCUGGACGGUAACUGACGCUGAGACGCGAAAGCGUGGGAGCAAACAGG